UUCCCCGAGUAGCUGCGAGCGAAACGGGAAGAGCUCAGCACGCAGAGGUGAUGCACUGAGGCGCAUCCACCUGGUUCCGUGUACUGGAAAGUUCGUCAUCUGCCGUAACCAGCGGUUACCAGUUCAAGUUCAACUAGAAUGUGGCUUUUACUCCCAGAGAGGGUGAUAGGCCCGUAGAACGGCGCUGAUGGCAGAAGAGCUUUCCACGGAGUCGUGUUGCUUGAUAGUGCAGCACAAAGUGGGAGGUAAACUCCUUCUAAAGCUAAAUAUCACCACGAGACCGAUAGCGAACAAGUACCGUGAGGGAAAGUUGAAAAGCACUCUGAAUAGAGAGUCAAACAGUACGUGAAACUGCCUAGGGCUCAAGCCCGUUGAACUCGAUUAUCCGAGCGGAGACAUUCACCGGCGGUGGUUCCCACCGCCGCCGGGCACUUGUCUCCCGCGCCCCCACGAGGACAUUGCGAUCCAUUACGAAACAGCUUUGGCGUCGCAAGACGCAAGGUCGCCCGACAGUUGCCCCCUGGUGCCGGUUGCUUGCCCCACCGUAGCGACGCUCAGUUCUGAAGGCCUGUGCCGCGAGCUGGGGCUUACUGCACGUGGUGUUUGCAGUCGGGCGCGUGAUGGAUUUACCCGCACACCGUCGGCCUUCCCGYAACGGGCCGGCGGACUGUCGAUCGGCAAUGAUAAAAUCGAGGUACCUCCGGGACCCGUCUUGAAACACGGACCAAGAAGUCUAUCUUGCGCGCGAGCCAAUGGUCGUCCUCCGGAACACCAAAGGCGCAAAAAACAUAACUUGAGUUGUGCGGGAUUACGGGCGCGGCUCUCCGCAGCGUCCCUCCAUCCCCGGGUGUUGUAGCCGGCAUGCGGUGGCGGGCGUUCGCCGUCCGCCAUCGUGCCACAACAUACCGCGAGCGUGCAGGA
rnacentral:rRNA from 1 species